GAUAUGCCUCCUUUGGAAAAACAUUUCAGCUUCUGCCAAUGUGUCUCUGAAUACGAUCUUCCCAUUUCCAGCAACCUUGGACAUCAGACCAGGUUGCAAGAUCAGAAGAUACAUCAUGUAGUCAGAGAUGAUUUUGCUUAACUCGCGGUAACUGUAAUGCUCACAUUUUUCUUCAUCCUCAGAGUUAGUCUCUUCUUGUUGGUAACAGAGUUCUGUUGCGAUGUGCCACAUCAAAAUACUCUGAUCAUAAUCCACGUUUGUAAUACAACGCAACAGUUUCUCACAGUCUACAUCCUCAGGGAGGUUCUCUCGCAAAGUCCAUUCUCCCCGAGCUAAAGAUAAGCUUUUGGCAUUUUCAGGAUUGUCUCCAAACUUUGAUUUGUAUUUCAGCUCAUUGAAAAUGAGCACCCACAGGUGUUUCAUCAUGGGUUCUCCAUGUACAAAUAACAUCUUGUGGACUGUAGCAAGUGUAUCCGAGAUGCCAAAGAACUCACCAAGGACAUCGAACACAGAUUUGAUGAAAUGAGGGAUGCGGGAUAGAAACUCGAAAUAGAUAGGGUAAAUAGUACUACGAGCCACAGGAUGAUUUCUUGAUAACUCAUUGACUCUGUGGCUGAUCCACCUGUGCAAACCAUUAAUUAACUUGGCAAUCCACAUAAUAAACUUUUGGAUGAUGAACAUGAGUAUCUCAAAUGGUAGAGCUAUGAUGAUACAUGAGUAGCGGCUGAAACUAUCUCGGGCGUCAUGGAUCCUCUUUACCUCUGCUUUUGUGGCAUAUGCUAUAAAGUUGAAUACGUUGAUGCUUCCACUCCACCUCCGGAGAAAGAAUGGUGUCACGAGCACGUCAUGCUUGUGUUCCAUUGAACACUUAUCUUCACCUUCCUUGAUACACGUAUGCAGACCUUUCUUGUGACAUUCUUGUGGUUUCCAAUGCAGCUUUCUAAAACCAAGUAACCAGUUGAAAUAUCUCUCUUUCAGUGUUUGAGGCUCUUUGGGGAUGUUCUUCAAGCUACUAAGUGCAACACAUGUCCAGUCUGAGAACAUAAACAAGAUGAGGGAUAUGAAAUCCAAAGCUAUGCCAACUGCAAACAGCAUGUAGGUAACGACAACAUCAGUUCCAUGAAAUAGUUUGUCUUUUUUGAGUUUCUUAUCAAAGAGGAUGAAUGCAGUCACUAGGGUGCCAGAAGCAACGAUGCGUGAGGAAGCUCCAAAAACCGUAUAAAGAACUCUGAUCUUGGUGAAUAGAGUAUCAUAGAGGAAACCAAGUU
rnacentral:lncRNA from 1 species